rnacentral:lncRNA from 1 species
UGGAGGUCUAGUAUCAGGGUGGUAGGAUAGGGGCUCCUAGAAUUUUUCGUACUCCUUUUCCGAGGCUGGGGGGCUUGGCAGGGCUAUCCAUAUAUGAUUCAUGUAUUGAUUGUGUCCCCCUUAUGGUAGUUAUUUAUGGUAGUUACUGUUUGAUAUUAUUUAUGGUAAUUACUGUUUAAUAUUAUUGCAUGUCAUUUUAUUUAGAUAGUUAUUUAUGCGAUUUCAGCUGGAGAUACUAAUGAUCUCUUGUUUUUGUUUUUGUUUUUCCUUUCCUGAGCCGAGUGUCGAUUGGAAACAAUCUCUCUGCCCUUCCGUAUAUGGGUAUGACCUGUCUACAUAUUACUUUCCACAUACUCCACUUUGUGGGACUAUACUGGAUAGUUGUUGUUGUUUGUAAAGGGGCGACAAAAUUAACCCAAACUCAUUUGACCUGUCUAACUCGCCCAAGUUUUAAUGGGUUUGGGCUAGAACGAUUUUGAAAAUAGAUUGUUUUGGGACAGCCCAAGUUAACACAUAAAAAAGAGAUUUUUUCUUUUCUAUAUCAUAUAUGAAACCUUAUUACCAAAAAUGUGAGUUUCUAAGUUACUCGCCCUGUCCACAUUUUUCUUCAUUUAUUAUACCAAUCAUUAAAUACUCAUUAAUAGUAGUUGAAUCUUCCUUAUUUGUCGAGCUAAAAUUAAGGAACAUAAUAUUCUAUAAAGAUUUAGCGUAAAUAAGAUCAAAUCAUAUCACGAAUAUCCUUUAUCUUCAAUUUUUAAUUAAAUUCCAUUCUUCGAUAACCUCAGAAUCGCUACAAUUCAAAAUCUCUGUUCGUCGAAAUCAAAAUCUCAAUUUCAAAUUAUAGAAAUAAGUUCUGCAAAUCUCAGUUCUUUGUCCUUUUUUUUUCUUAAUCCAAAAUAUCAAAAAAUCUACCAAAAAUUUAGCAAUACAUCAGCAACGACAUGCAAUCAUGUCCAAAAUCCCAUUCAUGCUAUAUUUUAAUGGCAAUUGGGAUAGCUAUCGCACAUCUAGAGAUUUUCAAGUUGAUGGCAUUAUGCUCGAUGAGGAUGCAAGUUACAAUAUGUUGAUUUCUACAAUUGUGAAGCAAUUAAUAAUUGAUACUUCAGAAAAAAAUUUAGAAAUCAAAUACGUUGUGAAUGAGAAUGUCCUCCAAUGGAGAUUAGGAACAAUAUGGGGGUUAGUCUGUAUAUGGAAACAAAAAAGGAGAAUAAAAACUUAGGAUUGUAUCCGUUAAUCAUAAGUAUACGAGAUUUCAAUAUAGAAUUGGCUAUUACAAAAUGAGAACACAAGUGCAUGUUUGUUAUGUUUCAAAUUCUAUGAAAUUCUGGUUUUAAGAUAAUAUUUACAAAAUUCCUAUAUUUAUCUACAAAUAAAUUAUAAAUCAGCUUUAGGAUAUAUAAAGCGAUAUUGUUUUCACGCUUAUCAAUAAAAUUACUACAUUUAUACUACAAUUAAGCUACAAUCCAUGUUAAAAAAAUUAACUACAAAAUUUUCUAUUCAUCUAUAAUUUAUCUACAAAGAGCUUUGAAGCUCAUUUUCCAGCAUUCCUUUUCAAUUCUUCCAAUCGAUUUUGGCAACUUUCAGCUAUACAAAGUUAGGUGAUUUACCGGGUCAACAUUCAUCUUGAUUCUAUAAAAUUGUAAUGACAUUGUUUAUCUUUAUUUUCAUGCAGGUUCUUCUGGGACAAUAUAGUUACUUGAUAUGCGAGUCUCUCUCAUCACAGAGGAAUAUCGAAGUAAAAUUAUAACCGAAGCUACACAAAGUAUUAUCGAAGAAGGACAAGUGUAUCAAGACAAGCAAACAAUUGCAACUGCAAUGAGGAACUAUUCUGUCAUGCA